UGGAGCCAUUAGAAGAUCAGCCAACCUCUUCCUCUCAGCUCUUGGGAUAAGAUUUUCAAGGCCAUCAGCUUUCAGGAUCGUGGCCUCCUGUGUGGCUCAGCAACACAAAGCUUUAAUCUUCAGUCAAAACAACUAUCAAACACUUUGCAACCCUCCCUGUCAUCAAGAAACCUGCUGUUUAAAAGCUCUCUGCUUUUAGGCUCUGAUCUCUCUGCUACCUUCAGCUGGGAGUAAAAACCUGAAAAAUUGGAAAAAAUUGGAGAAAAGCAAUUCUUCAUCUCUCUGAGGAGACUGAUUAUUAUGGGAAUGUAGUGGCAUCCUCGGUUUCCUUUGCUGCAUCUCUAAUUCCACAGAUGUGAGGAAUUCAGGCAGCACAAGGGCUGCUAUCCUUGCACCCCUGAGUGUUUCCCACUGCUACUCCCUCCUUGUUAACGCUGUGCAAUCAGCCAGUUCACAAGCAAUUAAUAACGGUUCUGAUUGCAUUUCUUCUCCUCUGCCCUCCUGCUGGCAGAGGCAUCCGCUCAGGUCUGUCACAAGCUCUUCAGGGCAUGUGCAUCUUGUCCUCCCACUGCCAGGUGGAGAGAAGUACCUUAAGGUCUUUGAGAGAUGUAGGUUGCUGUCCAGUACCAAUUUCCUUCAUUUACAGUGGUGCGGGUUGAUCUUGAUUAUUCUUGAACUCAAUUUUAAUUCAAUUUUAAUUAACAGGACCUUACCCCCAAAAGAUCUAUGCUGGCAUUAAGGCUAUGUGAAUCCACGAGAAACGUAAUGAAUAUCUGCAGUUGGACAUUUGGGCUCCUGAAUGAAGCAGUCGACUGCAAAGUGAGUUGGAAGGUUCCCUGCAUGGCAGCAGGCAGCACAACAAAAGAAUAAUGCAGCCUUCAUGUGGUAGAAUCAUAGAAUGGCUUAGGUAGGAGCUUAAAAAUCAUCCAGUUCCAAUCUCCUGCCGUGGGCAGGUUGCCAGCUACUAGAUCAAAGUCAAGGACCAAGGCUGUUGCUUCUCUUGACAAGCUGCAAUAUGGAAGGUCCAGCAUUCUUUAUGGGGUGGUUUAACCCCAUCAGAGCCCAAUUGCUUCUGGCCAAUUAAAGUACAGCAGAACACCUUGGGUAUUUUGGCUUUGUUGGAGGAGCAGCAAGAGGAUGGAGAAAACUUUCACACUGUGGUUGAUCUGUUCAGAUAAUAGCUGGCCAGCACCACCUCAGUUACAUGACCUUCUGGCUUCAGUGCACGUAUGCAACAACCAGACUUUCACGAGAUCUGAGCUCAGAAUACUUGAUUUCUAUCAGCUCUCAGUAGAUUAAGAGAAAAGAUUUAACCCAUAGAAAUGAGGACCCCUGUGGGUAAGGAGAGCAGGCUGUUCUUCUUGCAAGCAAAAACUGUGUGACAAAGGAUAAUAGAAAAGUGUAACAGUAAGUCAAAGCAGCUACCUGGGAUCCAGUAACCUGUAGUAUCUGCUGAUUGGGCUGGUGCUUCAACAACCACCAACUCAGCAUUUGCCUGAGUGGAAAACAUUGAAAACCAUUGGAUUUGAACUCUAGGAAAGUAGAGACCUUGGUUCAAUAGGUACCACUCUUAUAGCAGUAAAUGCAGUCUCCAGCUGUGUCAUCACUCUAUUAAAAGAUGCUGCUUUUCACUGCAAAGCCUGAUUCCCACAUUUCCACAGUAAGGGGAUCCACCUCAGCACUUACAAGUGUCCAACUGCACAGUCUUUCAGAAAUAAUGACUAAUUACUCAUUCUCAUACCCAGAGCUCUCUUGGAGGCUGUCUUCAGGUCAGGGCUCCACCGCGUACCCAUUCUUGCAUUCGCAAGUGAUACAAUCUCUUUCAACACAUGCCUGUAACUAAAAGAAAACGUGUGCCGUUUCAUCACGUUCGGCUCAGCAGGAUGCUCGCCCUGCAUCAGGCUCAAGCAUGGGUCAGCAGCAAGCUGGAUCGAUUGGGAUUUCACAAUUUCAUUCCCGUUGGCCAGCAAAGCAUUGCCUGGUGCAGCCCCAAGGAGUGAUUUCUGCAGAACCGCUUGAAACAUACCCACAUCAUCCAGUCUUUGGCAGCUAAUUCUUUAAGCUCAUAUUUAAUUCAUUUUGUGUGCUGUGUUGAUUUGGCACUGAUCUGUCUUCUUGAACAUUACAUCGUGGGAUACCAAGUCAAAUAUUUUACAGAAGCUAAAAUCAACACUAUUUCCUUUAUUAAGCAAAAUUGUAAUCUUGUUAUAAAAAAAAUGCAGUUAGUUUUAGGAGACCUAUUCCUCAUCAGCCCCCGUUGAUGGGAUUAAUGGUAUUAUCGCUUACUAUUUUUUAAUUUCUGCAAUUGUUCCUCAUUGCCUGGGAUCCAUUAUCUCCCCAGGACCAAAGCUCAGCAGGCCUAUAGAUAUCCAAAUCAUUCAGCUUUCCCUUCAAUA